GCGAACGCUGGCGGCGUGCUUAACACAUGCAAGUCGAACGAUGACGACCGAGCUUGCUCGGUCUGAUUAGUGGCGAACGGGUGAGUAACACGUGAGCAACCUGCCCCUCACUCUGGGAUAACCUCGGGAAAUCGUGGCUAAUACCGGAUAUGAGCUUCUCCUGCAUGGGAGUUGCUGGAAAGUUUUUCGGUGGGGGAUGGACUCGCGGCCUAUCAGUUUGUUGGUGAGGUAACGGCUCACCAAGGCGAUGACGGGUAGCCGGCCUGAGAGGGCGACCGGCCACACUGGGACUGAGACACGGCCCAGACUCCUACGGGAGGCAGCAGUGGGGAAUAUUGCACAAUGGGCGAAAGCCUGAUGCAGCGACGCCGCGUGGGGGAUGACGGCCUUCGGGUUGUAAACCUCUUUCAGCAGGGAAGAAGCGAAAGUGACGGUACCCUGCAGAAAGAAGCGCCCGGGCUAAACUACGUGCCCAGCCAGCCCGGCGGUUAAAUACCGUAGGGGCCGCAAGCCGUUGGUCCCGGGAAAUUAAUUGGGGCCGUUAAAGAAGCUUUGUAAGGUGGGCU
rnacentral:rRNA from 1 species